rnacentral:rRNA from 1 species
CCUACGGGAGGCAGCAGUGGGGAAUAUUGCACAAUGGGGGAAACCCUGAUGCAGCGACGCCGCGUGAGUGAAGAAGUAUUUCGGUACGGAAAGCUCUAUCAGCAGGGAAGAAAAUGACGGUACCUGACCAAGAAGCCCCGGCUAACUACGUGCCAGCAGCCGCGGGAAUACGUAGGGGGCAAGCGUUAUCCGGAUUUACUGGGUGUAAAGGGAGCGUAGACGGCAGCGCAAGUCUGGAGUGAAAUGCCGGGGCCCAACCCCGGAACUGCUUUGGAAACGGUUCAGCUGCAGGGCCGGAGAGUUCAUCGCACUUCCUUGUGUAGCGGUGCAAUGCGUAGAUAUUAGGCGUAACACCAGUGGCGCAUGCGGCUUACUGUACUGUAACUGACGUUGCGGCUCG